rnacentral:rRNA from 1 species
AUACGGAAGGUCCGGGCGUUAUCCGGAUUUAUUGGGUUUAAAGGGAGCGCAGGCGGAGAUGCAAGCGUGACGUCAAAUUUCGGGGCUCAACCCCGUCUCGCGUCGCGAAUUGCGUCCCUUGGUUGCGGGAAGGGGAGGCGGAACUCGUGGUGUAGCGGUGAAAUGCAUAGAUAUCACGAAGAACUCCGAUCGCGAAGGCCGCCGGCCGGGCCGCGACUGACGCUGAAGCUCGAAGGUGCGGGUAUCGAACAGGAUUAGAUACCCUGGUAGUCCGCACAGUAAACGAUGGAUACUCGCUGUCGGCGAUAUACGGUCGGUGGCCAAGCGAAAGCGUUAAGUUUCCCACCUGGGGAGUACGCCGGCAACGGUGAAACUCAAAUGAAUUGACGGGG